AGCAGCGGGGCUCAGUGGAAAGAGCAUGGGCUUGGGAGUCAGAGGUCGUGGGUUCGAAUCCCAGCUCUGCCA
rnacentral:tRNA from 1 species